rfam:Nadsonia fulvescens var. elongata DSM 6958 unplaced genomic scaffold NADFTscaffold_5, whole genome shotgun sequence.
AGCGUCGUGGCGCAGCGGAAGCGCAUUGGGCUCAUAACCCAAGGGACCUCGGAUCGAAACCGAGCGACGCUA